AACGAACGCUGGCGGCAUGCCUAACACAUGCAAGUCGAACGAGACCUUCGGGUCUAGUGGCGCACGGGUGCGUAACGCGUGGGAACCUGCCCUUAGGUUCGGAAUAACUCCCCGAAAGGGGUGCUAAUACCGGAUAAUGUCUUCGGACCAAAGAUUUAUCGCCUUUGGAUGGGCCCGCGUUGGAUUAGCUAGUUGGUAGGGUAAAAGCCUACCAAGGCGACGAUCCAUAGCUGGUCUGUGAGGAUGAUCAGCCACACUGGGACUGAGACACGGCCCAGACUCCUACGGGAGGCAGCAGUGGGGAAUAUUGGACAAUGGGCGAAAGCCUGAUCCAGCAAUGCCGCGUGAGUGAUGAAGGCCGUAGGGUUGUAAAGCUCUUUUACCCGGGAUGAUAAUGACAGUACCGGGAGAAUAAGCUCCGGCUAACUCCGUG
rnacentral:rRNA from 1 species